UUUCUUAUUUUAGUUACUUAAUUGUCCGCCAACUGUCAAAAUUGACGUUUUAUAAAUUUAAGUGUCACAAUAGAAAACAUUUAUCGAAUUUUAACCAAAACAGUAUAUUUUUAGAGGAAAAUGUAUGAUCAACUUGAAACGCGUAUUUACACGAAAACCAUUUCUGGGAGAAUGUGUUGGAGUCAGUUGGAGUCCUGGAGGUGUUUUGGUGGGGUCGACCGUGGCUUGAAUAGUGCGCGCAGGUCAUAAGCUAUCGAUGUUUUUCCCCCAAACCAAACUUUUACAAUGUUAGAAAAUCCGUAUAUUUGUGGUGUUUAAAGAUAUCUUCUAGUUUAAAGGUUAUUUUUACUUUGGAGAUAAUUUUAUCAAAUAAACUUUUAUUCAAUUUAUAAACUUAAA